rnacentral:rRNA from 1 species
GAUGAACGCUGGCGGCAUGCCUAACACAUGCAAGUCGGACGGGAAGUGGUGUUUCCAGUGGCGGCCGGGUGAGUAACGCGUAAGAACUUGCCCUAGGGAGGGGAACAACAGCUGGAAACGGCUGCUAAUACCCCGUAGGCCGAGGAGCAAAAGGUGGAAUCCGCCCGAGGGGGCGCGUGCGUCUGGUUCGCUAGUUGGUGAGGCAAGAGCUUACCAACGCGAUGAUCAGUAGCUGGUGCGAGAGGAUGAGCAGCCACACUGGGACUGAGACACGGCGCAGACUCUUAUGGGAGACGGCGGUGGGGAGUAUUCCGCAAUAGGGGAGAGACUGAGAGAGCACUGCCGCGGGGAAGUAGUAGGGCCACGUGUGGUGAACUGCUUUUCCAGGCGAAGAGGUAAUGACGGUACCUGGAGAAUAAGCACCGGCUAACUCCGUG